AUAUGUGCACCUUCCGAUAAUUCCUACAUCAAUCUCCCCUUCUCUCUUCUUCCCCUCUGCAAAAACCACCUCCACCUCCACCCACCAGUACCUCUACCAUGGAGAUGCAAGAAAAGAUCAUACAGUACAAGUAUCAUAUCUUCUUCUCCCUCAUCAUCUCUCUUGUACUUGCAACUCUAAUCUUUUUAGCACCAAGUUUUGUCACGAUCUUGGCCUACUUCUGGCCUCUGUUUCUCUCCACAGCUCUGUUUCUUGUUGCUGUCGUCUUCUUCGGCAAGACCUCUCCACCGGCUACUGAAUCUUCCGGCGACAAAGCGGGCGAAGGACUCUUGGACUAUGUUGCUGGGCAAUCUGAACAAGUGGUAGAAAAUUUCACGCCUGAGUAGUUCAUUUUUCUUGUAAUCUUUCUAACCCCUGUUUUCUUUUUCUUUGAAAAUCCCCUUGUUUCCUUUUCUUGUUCCCCAUCUCCUUCUUCUUCCCUCUGGUUUGUAGUUGACGGAAUGUGAACUGUAAAUGAUGGGAAGAUUGUGUUUAUUAGUUAUUGAUUAUGAAACUGAUCUCUAUCUCCCCUGGUUUUAAUUUAAUUUUUAUCUUUUGUUUGGAG
rnacentral:lncRNA from 1 species